AUGGCUGAGCUGAAGCUAUGCUUGUGCUUCUUGCUCCUCUGUGUACAUGUCCAUCAUGCGACCGCUAUCUCGUUCAGCUACAACUCCUUCCGCUCCGGUGAUUUCAGAGAGGAGGAUGACGCGAUGGUCACCGACGGCAGGAUUGAGCUCGUCGGCGACGAGGCCGGCGGUCGAGCAAGGGGCCGCGUCCUGUACAAGCAGGCGGUGCAGCUCUGGGACGGCGUCAAGGGCGAGACGGCCAGCUUCACCACGAGCUUCAACUUCAGCAUCCAGUCCCUGCCUGGCCGGAGCAGCACCCCCGGGCACGGCAUGACGUUCUUCGUCGCGCCCUACAUGCCCGAAAUGCCGCAGGAGUCCUACGACGGCUGCCUUGGGCUCUUCGACGAGAAACAUGCCCCGAAGAACGGGACGACGAUUAUCUCGGCCAACGCCUCCGGCAGCGCCAGCUUCGUCGCCGUAGAGUUCGACACCCACCGUGACGCGUGGGACCCCAGCAGCCGGUACAUCGGCGUAGACGUGAACAACGUCGACUCACGCGGCAACUUCAGGAUCUUGCCGGAAGGCAGCCUCGUGGACGCCGGCGUGAUGUCUUCGACGGUGACCUACGACAACGCCACGUCGUGGCUGGACGUCGUCCUCCGCGACAGUGGUGCCGAGUAUGCCCUCGGCGCCACCGUCGACUUGCGAAGCUUGCUGCCGGAGCAGGUCGCGUUAGGCUUCUCGGCGGCCACCGGUGAUGCCUUCGGCAGCAGUCACACGUUACUCUCGUGGUCCUUCCACUCCACGCUCCCGACAAGGAACUACACGGCCCUCCCAUCUACCUCGUCAACCAAGAAGGCCACCCUACCACUCAUAGCCGGGGUUGCCGCCGCAGCCGUGGUGGCGCUCCUGCUCGCGGUCACCGUGGCGGUGCUGCUCCGUCGUGCGAGCAGGAGAAACAGGCAAACAGACGACAAAGACAUGCUCGCCGGCGACAUGACUCCGGACUCCCUCGAUGCCGACGGCGAUGAGUUCGGUUCCAGCACGGGACCCCGGCCGAUCCCGUACGCCAGCCUAGCGGCGGCGACGAGGAACUUCGCGGAGGAAGGGAGGCUGGGGCAGGGCGGAUCCGGGUCGGUGUACCGGGGCCACAUGAAAGAACUCGGCGGCCGCGAUGUCGCGGUCAAGGUAUUCCUCCGAGGGGCGUCCUUGGAGGGGAGGAAGGAGUACAGGUCGGAGGUCACCAUCAUCAGCAGACUGCGUCACCGGAAUCAUGUGCAGCUAACCGGCUGGUGCCAUGGCCGCAGGCGGCUGCUGCUGGUCUACGAGCUCGUCCACAACGGCAGCCUCGAUGGGUACCUCUACAGCAACACCAAAAACGACGUUCUGACUUGGCAAGUUAGAUACCAGAUCAUUCUUGGACUGGCGUCUGCCGUGCUGUACCUCCACCAAGAAUGGGAUCAAUGCGUCGUCCAUGGUGACAUUAAGCCGAGCAACAUCAUGCUGGACGAGUCCUUCAACACCAAGCUAGGCGACUUUGGCCUGUCGCGGCUCAUCGACCACGGCAUGAGCUUGCAGACAAUGACCGCCAUGGCGGGAACCCCGGGCUACCUCGACCCGGAGUGCGUCAUCACCGGUAAGGCGUCCACCGAGUCCGACAUGUACAGCUUCGGUGUCACGCUGCUGGAGAUCGUGUGCGGGCGGCGACCGAUGGCGCCGCCCAGCGCCGGUGCGAGGGACGGCCAGGUGUUCCGGCUGCUGGAGUGGGUUUGGGACCUCUAUGGCAGGGGCGCCGCCCUCGACGCCGCUGACGAGCGUCUCGGCGGCGUGUUCGACCGGUGGGAGAUGGAGAGGGUGGUAGCCGUUGGGCUGUGGUCCGCGCACCCGGACCCAAAGAUGAGGCCGGCGAUGAGGCAGGCAGCCGAGGCGCUGCAGUCAAGGAAGUUCAGGAUGCCGGUGCUGCCGUCCAAGAUGCCGGUGGCCGUGUACCUGCAGCCUUUCGGAGAUUCCGCCAUGGAGUACGGCGACAGCACCACCACGGUUGGGUCCGGGGUUACCACGCAGCAGUACUCGUCGACCAGCUGUACAACAGCGACGCAAUCUUCAAAUACUAGCAUGCCGGCGGCUGUAAGUGAGGAGUUGAACCCCAAUAUAGAGUAG
rnacentral:rRNA from 1 species